rnacentral:snRNA from 1 species
GGAUAUAAGAGCAAUCUGGCUGUGACAUUUGUCAUCCCAUUGAUCACUAGUGUUGAUUUUUCUGAUCUGGCUGGCUAGGCAGGUGUCCCCUUCCUCCCUUACUGCUCCAUGUGCAUCCCUCCCAGAGCUGCAUGCUCAGUGGAAGAGGAUGGCCAUCCCCAAAAGAGGAGGACUGUUCUUUGGUCAAGGGUAUAUGAAUAGUUGUGCUUCCCUGCUAGAACCUCCAAACAAGCACAAAAGUCAAAAAGCACAAAACAAAUAAACAAGAAAGCUUAUAGUGAAAAUUAUAGGGUUUUUU